rnacentral:rRNA from 1 species
GACGAACGCUGGCGGCGUGCCUAACACAUGCAAGUCGAACGAAGAGCGAUGGAAGCUUGCUUCUAUCAGUCUUAGUGGCGAACGGGUGAGUAACGCGUAAUAAACCUGUCUUUCAGAGGGGGACAACAGUUGGAAACGACUGCUAAUCCCGCAUACGAUCUAAUCUCGGCAUCGAGGAUAGAUGAAAGGUGGUCUCUACAUGUAUGCUAUCACUGAAGCCGGAGUUUGUGUCUGAUUAGCUAGGUGGUGGGGUAAGGGCCCAACAAAGCGAUGAACAGUAGCCGGUCUUGUGGGGGGAACGGGCAAAUUGGGACUUAGGCACGGCCCAGGCUCCUACGGGAGGCAGCAGGGAGGAAACUUCCGCAAUGGAGGAAAGUCUUGCGGGGCAACGGCGCGGGGGCGAUGGCAGGCUUCGGGUUGUAAAGCUCUGUUAAUCAGGACGGAAGGCCUGCUUGCGAAUAGUGAGAAGGAUUGACGGUACCGGAAUAGAAAGCCACGGCUAACUACGUG